rnacentral:tRNA from 1 species
CGGGGUGUAGCUCAGCCUGGUAGAGCGCCGCGUUUGGGACGCGGAAGUCGCUGGUUCGAGUCCGGCCACCCCGA